GCAGUGGGCGUCUAUAGUCCCAGCUACUCGGGAGGCUGAGGUGGGAGGAUGGCUUGAGCCCAGGAAUUCUGGGAUGUAGUGCACUAUGCUGAUUGGGUGUCCACACUAAGUUUGGCAUCGAUAUGGUGGCCUCUGGGGAGCAAGGGACCACCAGGUGGCCUAAAGAGAGGUGAACUGACCCGGGUCAGAAAUGAGCAGGUCAAAACUCUUGUGCUCAUCAGCAGUGGGAUUGAGCUUGUGAAUAGCCACCAUACUCCACACUGGACAAUAUAGCAAGACCCCAGCUCU
rnacentral:SRP_RNA from 1 species